rnacentral:tRNA from 1 species
GUGAGUAUAGCUCAGUUGGUAGGAUAAUGCAUUAUUAUAUGCAGGGGCCGGGGUUCGAACCCCGGACACCCC